rnacentral:rRNA from 1 species
GAUGAACGCUGGCGGCGUGCCUAAUACAUGCAAGUCGAGCGAACAGAUAAGGAGCUUGCUCCUUUGACGUUAGCGGCGGACGGGUGAGUAACACGUGGGUAACCUACCUAUAAGACUGGGAUAACUUCGGGAAACCGGAGCUAAUACCGGAUAAUAUUUCGAACCGCAUGGUUCGAUAGUGAAAGAUGGUUUUGCUAUCACUUAUAGAUGGACCCGCGCCGGAUUAGCUAGUUGGUAAGGUAACGGCUUACCAAGGCGACGAUACGUAGCCGACCUGAGAGGGUGAUCGGCCACACUGGAACUGAGACACGGUCCAGACUCCUACGGGAGGCAGCAGUAGGGAAUAUUCCGCAAUGGGCGAAAGCCUGACGGAGCAACGCCGCGUGAGUGAUGAAGGUCUUCGGAUCGUAAAACUCUGUUAGUAGGGAAGAACAUACGUGUAAGUAACUGUGCACGUCUUGACGGUACCUAAUCAGAAAGCCACGGCUAACUACGUG